CAGGACUUAAUUAACCUCACGUUCAAGGUGUACAAUAAUAGAGUAGAGGCAGCCAAGUAGCAAUGUAUUUCUGAGUUGCAAUUCCUUGCCUCCACUGUGAGACAAACCCCAGCCACAACUCCAGCACACAAGAACUCCAAACACCUGAACCGCAGCUGCCAGGGGUUCCUCCAGAACCUCCUCCCCCAGGAGCUUGCUACAAGGGCUGGAAAUCUGGCCACUGGGCCAAGGAAUGCCCACAGCCUGGGAUUCCUCCUAAGCCAUGUCCCAUCUGUGUGGGAUGCCACUGAAAAUAGGACUGUUCAACUCACCUGGCAGCCACUUCCAGAGCCCCUGGAACUCUGGCCCAAGGCUCCCUGACUGACUCCUUCCCUGAUCUUCUCAGCUUAGCAGCUGAAGACUGACACUGCCUGAUUGCCUCAGAAGCCUACAGGACCAUCACAGAUGCCCUAGAUAACUCUCACAGUGGAGGAAAAACAAUGCAUUCUGAGAAACAGAAUAAUAACGUGGAACAACUGCUUCUUCCUGCCAAAACUUUAUUUGAAGUUUGUUAAAAAAAAAAAAGUUAAGACAAACAAUUAUAAUGACUUUUCAUUAGCAAAAAGCUCUACUUUAAAAAUAAAACUCUAGGACAACUUUUUUCAGAUUCAGCAUACAGGUGAAAUUCAAUUUAUAACUCUCUGAAAACCUGUUGGAGCACUUUCCUGUUUCUUUUCUCAUUUUAUAUCACAUUCUGUGCUAUUUUUAAAGAAACUCAAUGUGCCAAGUGGAAAAUGUUUUUACAUGCUAUGAAAGAUAAAAAGUGCUUUUUCCCCCAAGGAUGUUUUACACAUUAACCUGUUUUCCUUUGCUUUCUAUUUUUCACAUGCCCCUUGCUCAUAUGUUUUGACUGGUUUUGCUCCAAUGAAGGCAAAGCCACGCCCAUCAGGAACUUCAAAGUCAUUGAAACUCACCAAAGACCAACUCCUAUGAUCAGCCCGUGGACAAUACCGGUUAUUUUCAAACCAGUCCUUAGUCACCAGGAUUCUUGACAAGCUCCUGCAAAGCAGACACAGGUUUGUCUUGGUGGAAGCUGCUGACUGUCAUCCCCUCAGUUUGAAACUCGAGGUCCUGCUUUGGUGUGGAAGCAGAGCUUUUCUUGGCAGGUGAAAGAUUGCUUAGCAAAGGAAACGGUGUCAAAUGGAAUAUGUCAGAACCUAUCUCAGAACAAGGUCACCCUGACCCUAAAUGAAUUCCACAAAAACUCAUUGGAGACACUGUUUUGCAAAUCUGGACUUCAACCAAAAAGAAAGAAAAGUGGACCACAGUAACCAAAGCUUUCCUCAUCCUUCAGGUUGAGGUCUGGAAAACAGAAUCAAAGCCUCCCUUCAAUUCCUCCUCACCACCUGCCUUACCCAGAUGUACAUUUUAAAUUUAAUCAUAAAUCACAUAAAACAGAGUAACACAGAUGAAUUCAAAUGAGGUGGAUUGCAUGCAUGGAAGGCCAGUGCAGUAUAGUUUACCAAUGAUUACAAGUAUACUUUCUGCUUAAUGUACAUCACAACCAUGUUAAGUGAGUUACUACUAACCACAUUUCAUGGGUGAUGAAAUGAGAUAUGCCAUUUUGGGGGCCUGCCUGUGAUAGGCCACACAGAAAAUAAAGAGGAAAAUGCAUCCUUGGGCUAGGCUCUUUCCGAUCUUUCUCUCAACAUUCUUUCGAUGGCAGCAGCUCAGAGACAAUGAGGACCUAUCAAUCUGCCUUUCUCCAAUUCUCCUACCCCAGUCACCUAAUGUUACCUAAACCCAAAAAGGAAAUAUAUACAACUUCAAACUCUUCUCUAAACACUAAUUCUCCUGGUCGAAGCUUCAGCAAGGAUGCCUUCCACCUCUCAAGGGCACCCCACCGACUGAUUCCUCUGUGUCCUGAAGAUCCCUAUUGUGGCUAGUGGAUAAUAACGCUCAGGAAUGUACUUCUACCCCAUGAACCAGAACACUGUAAAACUGUUGUUCACAUUUAUCCAAUAAAAUCCAGACAAUACAUCUGGUUCUUUUUAUAUUUUUAAUAGUGGAAAUGUGUUUGUGAUUUAAAAACUUAGUUUCUGUCAAAAGAAGUAUAAUACAUAGUAUUCAACAGUUUCAGGAUCUCUUGUCAAAAGAGAUAAUUGCAGAACUUUAACAGACUAACAUGGUACUAUAUAGAAAAAUGACCUCUAAAAUAUAACACAUGGUUUUAGCUUCUAGGGAUGAUAUCUGAAAGUUAAUCCGACAUUUAUAACCAACUGACCAGGAUGUUCAAAAACUCAUGGCCCUAAGGCGUCUAGGAGACAAUUAAGAAGAAUGGACAUUACUCACAAUGGGAACAAUUCCCAGCUUUGCAGAGGAACACAGAUUUGGGGGGCUUUGCAGCCGUCCCUCAUAAUGGGAACAAUUCAUAUUUUCUUCCCUUAGAGAAUUAAGACUGAUGUUUUCCAUAAUGAAUAGUUUAUAAAGAUAAUACAAAGGAACUUUGUGGGUCGGCCGCGGUGGCUCACGGCCUGUAAGGAGGCUGAGGCAGGAGAAUCACUUGAACCCGGGAAGUGAAGGUUGCAGUGAGCCAAGAUGGUGCCAUUGCACUCCAUCAAGAGCGAAACUCCAUUUCAAAAAAAAAAAAAAAAACGAGGGAACUUUGCGAAAGUGUGGUUAGAAAACUAGAGUUGGAUAGUUAGGCUUAUUUUAAGAAGUUUAAAUAUUAUUUAGAAGAGAAAAAGAAACUACUUCUUAUCCCUGACUCAUCCACUCUUUCUCAUUUUCAUGUUUUUGCCUGACGUUGUUGCUCAUCAAUUUUGACUUAAGAAAAUUCUAGCAACAUUUAUAGAUUUUGCCAAAAUUCAGCUUCUUCCCAAAUCAAUCUAUAAGAAGGCUCUUCCUUAAACAUAAUUUUUAUAUCUAUGAACUGCACUAGCAUUUACUAUAUAUUUUUAUCACUCUCACCAUUACUGGAUAAUAAAUAAAAGCUCAUUAAAAGAGUUAACAAAACAUAUUUAUUUUAGGCAUCCUGAAAAAAAGAUUCAAUUUUAUUAUCAUUUCUACAAUAAGUAUUGAAGAAAGGAGAAUUUAAAUUACUUCAUAUACCUGAUAAAGGAAAACAUAUGCAA
rnacentral:lncRNA from 1 species